CAGGUGAAGACAAAGUAUCGCUUAUCUUGGAAAUGAGCAUAAAGCAAUGGAACACGCUGCUACUUGCGACCAGGGAUUACGUGAUCGGCCUAAUGUUCAGACUGGCGAGCAAGUGUCUGUGUGUGAUUGUACUUGUGUUGGUAAACCACUGAGAUUUGCCUAUUGACAAUGAGUCUGUUCUUCUUGGUUGAGCAGUGUUCAGUUCGCCAUCCGAAUGCUCAGCGGAACUUCAACUUAAGUUCUCAUGUUCAGGAUCGGAAGUCCUUGGGUUUCGUAUAUCUUUCUAGGAACAAGAUUUUGUUUAUUAGUGAUCAUUUCUUUAGUCUAGCUUGCAGCGCAUGCGAUAUCGUUGUAGACCUUUUGAGAGCCUAAAUCAUUCUCAAAAGGUCUACACCGUGGGUGUGUUCAAUUUCAAAUAUUGUGGCAGAAAAGUGAUUUAUUCUGUUGGUUUGUACA